UUUAGCCAGUGUCUUCAACUCUGCG
rnacentral:miRNA from 1 species